AACACUCCCACUGCUUUUGUGAGCUCUCUGACAUCCGGCUGCCUCUACACAGUGCACAUCUCCCCUGAGAAAUGUGUAAAAGGCUGGCCCCCUGCUAGUACAUCGCUCUACACAGAUCCAACCCUUCUCGGACCACUAAUGACUGACUCUGUGGGACCCAACUCUGUUUGUUUCUCUGACCUGGGGCACUCCUGCCAGUAUGGAUAAGAUCCCACACAGCUUCAUCACCUACUCCAGCUCCUUCUGGGGUCACCAUGGCUCCACCACUGCAGACUCCAACUCCACUGUCAUCUCUGACCUGAGACGUCUUUAUUAUUACCACAGUGCAGGACAAUGGGGGCUGGAGCACACCUUUCUCAACAUCUCUCUUGACAAAAGCAAAUGAGAAGCGGAUGAUAGUGGCUUUCUGCUGCAGCUCCCAAGAACCCCUGGCUCAAAGAGGAGAUGCUUAACCAGCUGAAAGCCAAGAUGGGAGAGCGCUUGUUUGGGGUGUAUUGGAGACUGAAAUGGAGAGAGAAGGAAGGAGAGGACUAGACGCAACCUGCGUUACUGAACUGGCAGUUUAAACAUAUCUGGUUGAAUUAUAGAUUAAAGUAGAGUUUUAACUAAUGGGUUAAAAUGACUCAGGAGUGGGAAUAGGACAAGGCUGAGUACACACUGCGACUGAGUGCUGCACUGAGAGCUGCACAAGAAGAAAUAAAAACUGUACCUUGUACCUCCUUUAAUAAUGAAACCUUUAUACUGGUUAAUGUUUGUUUGAA